CAGAUUUUAACAUGGCCACCAUGAUCCCCGCCUCCUGGAGUACAUGGCCUUGUAUAUUUCCCUCUCCUUGGGAGGGCAAGAACUGUAACUUUCUUUCACCCAAUAGAAUAAGGCAAAGGUGAUUGGAUGCCAUUCCCAUCAUUGUAUUACACUGUACAAGACUCCAUCAUCUAGCCAACUUGCUCUAAAAAUCUUUCCCUCUUUGCUGACUUUGGAGAAAAAAGCGGCCAUGAGUAUUAAAACUUCAAGGAAAUGAAUUCUUCCAACAAUAUUAGUAAACUUGGAAAUAAAACUUUCUCUAGUCAAGCUUCCAGAGGAGAACCCAGACCUUGUUGAUAGCUUGAUUGCAGGCUUGCAGAGGACCCAGCUAAACUAAGACUCUUGAGUCACACAAACUAUUCUAAAAAGCAUACCACUUUCUGUUGGAAGAAAAGACUUCAGAUGGAAGAAUGCAGCUUUCAGAUGAGAAAUAGGAGAAUGCAGAUCUCAUAGUGACCACUGUCUGGAUGCUGUUCUUCCUCACUUUCUUCUGAUAAAGAGAUCACUCUGAAUCACCCUUUGAGUAUAUAUUUCAAGGUUAUGAAUUAAAGCCAAUGCUGGAUUUUGUUCACUAAUU
rnacentral:lncRNA from 1 species